rnacentral:rRNA from 1 species
UACGAAGGGGGCGAGCGUUGUUCGGAUUUACUGGGCGUAAAGCGCGCGCAGGCGGUCCUUCAAGUCAGAGGUGAAAGCCCAGAGCUCAACUCUGGAAUGGCCUUUGAGACUAGAGGACUUGGGUACGGGAGAGGUGAGUGGAAUUCCGAGUGUAGAGGUGAAAUUCGUAGAUAUUCGGAAGAACACCAGUGGCGAAGGCGGCUCACUGGCCCGUUACCGACGCUCAGGCGCGACAGCGUGGGGAGCAAACAGG